rnacentral:snoRNA from 1 species
AACAUGAAUCAGGUCAAGAGUCUGAAUAACUCGGAGAUCUUCUGUGUUGCCAUCAGCUUCAUCUCUUGAAAUCUCUAACGAGAAUGAAGUUAAAUAACAACACUAUAUUU